rnacentral:rRNA from 1 species
AUUGAACGCUGGCGGCAGGCCUAACACAUGCAAGUCGAACGGUAACAGGAAACAGCUUGCUGUUUCGCUGACGAGUGGCGGACGGGUGAGUAAUGUCUGGGAAACUGCCUGAUGGAGGGGGAUAACUACUGGAAACGGUAGCUAAUACCGCAUAACGUCGCAAGACCAAAGAGGGGGACCUUCGGGCCUCUUGCCAUCGGAUGUGCCCGGAUGGGAUUAGCUAGUAGGUGGGGUAACGGCUCACCUAGGCCACGAUCCCUAGCUGGUCUGAGAGUAUGACCGACCACACUGGAACUGAGACACGGUCCAGACUCCUACGGGAGGCAGCAGUGGGGAAUAUUGCACAAUGGGCGCAAGCCUGAUGCAGCCAUGCCGCGUGUAUGAAGAAGGCCUUCGGGUUGUAAAGUACUUUCAGCGGGGAGGAAGGGAGUAAAGUCAAUACCUUUGCUCAUUGACGUUACCCGCAGAAGAAGCACCGGCUAACUCCGUGCCAGCCGCCGCAGUAA